UAUACGUUGGGGCUGUGGCGAUUCAUUCAACUCGAUUUUUACCGGAACAACAGGCGCUGCUCGAAAGACAACGACGGAAAAUAGAGAGCCGCUAUAAAGUCCGCUAAUUUGCACAUUACAGCACUACAAAGCGAUAUAUGAACACAUCGUAAACAGCAACCACUCGCUCACACACACAAGAAACGAGGUACCCAACGUUGCUAGACACCAUCCGAACUCCGAAGUGAGAGUAGCAAAACAACAAGAUAUCAAAACACGAAAGGAAGAGUAUUGAUCCCCCCUCCUUCUAUAGCAUGCAAAACGUGAUUUGCGCUGAGAUGAACAUAUAUGUUCAUGACGCGAGUAAUUUUCACUUUUCACUGAUCCAAAGGAGGUCACGUGGGAUUGCUCGACGCUUGCGAAAUCAACAAUGAAAAUGGCGAAACGAAACUUGUGAAUCGUGCAUUUGCUCUUCAUGGUAGCUGCCAAAAAAUCGAAUCAAACUUAUGGGACACUGGAUUACAGGUUGCUGCCACUACUCCAUGUGCCCGCAAUUGUCUUGCGUGUAUGAUUACACUAACGGCGUCGCCCACCACGGCGGAAGUGUUUUGCGUACACGCGUUUCAGCAUGAAGCCUGCAGGUGGACGUAAAUUGUAGAAGGCAGCUAGUGGGGGAGAAGAUCAUGGUCAUAGGUCAUGUGACUCCUGGAGCUCCCAGUGGGCUCCCUUGGUGAGUACUUUUCAGAACACACACACAUACAGUUUGCUCACAGAACCAACGAGUAGGAUGUUGCUUGAAUACUGAGAGAAAAUGGCGUAACACAUACAAAUAUCGUGUGACACAUAUGACAAUAAAAACAUUUUUCACGAGGGAUGCAUGAAACACUGUCG